UGGGGAAUAUUGCACAAUGGGCGCAAGCCUGAUGCAGCCAUGCCGCGUGUAUGAAGAAGGCCUUCGGGUUGUAAAGUACUUUCAGUCGGGAGGAAGGUGGUAAGGUUAAUAACCUUAUCAAUUGACGUUACCGACAGAAGAAGCACCGGCUAACUCCGUGCCAGCAGCCGCGGUAAUACGGAGGGUGCAAGCGUUAAUCGGAAUUACUGGGCGUAAAGCGCACGCAGGCGGUUGAUUGAGUCAGAUGUGAAAUCCCCGGGCUUAACCCGGGAAUUGCAUCUGAUACUGGUCAGCUAGAGUCUUGUAGAGGGGAGUAGAAUUCCAUGUGUAGCGAUGAAAUGCGUAGAGAUGUGGAGGAAUACCGGUGGCGAAGGCGGCCCCCUGGACAAAGACUGACGCUCAGGUGCGAAAGCGUGGGGAGCAAACAGG
rnacentral:rRNA from 1 species